rnacentral:lncRNA from 1 species
UAGAAUGCAAGGGAAGAGGGGAAAAUUACCCGAGCUAGCUACACUUAAUAUAUAAUUUCACAGUUGAGAGCAGAGUAUACAUUAAAGAUGAUGCAGAAGCAGACGUUGGCGAUAGCUCUGGCGUGGCUCCUGGUUGCGUCGUCAAUCAUGAUGUGCGAGUACGCAGCUGCAGACACUACUCCAUUGAAAACUGCUGACCAAGUUCUCCAUCCCCUAGCAGGUAAGAACCAACAUCCGAUCCUUUUGCUUUCGCAUCUGAUAUUCUGCAUGCAUAGUAUAUAUAUAUAUAUAUAUAUAUAUAUAUAUAUAUAUAUCUUGAAUGCAUGCAUGCAUGUGCAUUUACGUAAUAUAUAGUAAUUUAGAGUGUAUAUAUAUAUAUAUAGAGAGAGAGAGAGAACUAACUAUAUAUGCUUGCUAAUGGAUACAAUAUACACUACUUGAAGGUUGUCGCUGCUGCAACUUCAUUCGUGUGAAAGGGUUUAUCCAAUGCGGAACAGUUUGUUGUGUGGAUGGAUGUUGCGGUCGCAAGUGAAGCACCUGCAAUGCAGCUACACAGACAAUAAUAUGAAUCAUGGUGGUGGUGUUGCACAAUAAGAUGAAUAAUGGUGGUCAAAAGUUGCAACAUCGCUGAAGCAAUCAAAGCCCCCCUUAUAGAUUUCCCUGUUUGUUUGUUUUGCAUUCCUAUCGAGUUAUAUAAUGUUUGUCGAAAAGAUCCUGUUUAAUGAAAAAUUAAUGUCUGGAAAUCUGGGUGUUUCAGCAGGAUUUCUUUACGUUGAUGUAUCAUGUAUGUAUGUCUACAUGAGGAUAUAUCUAUCUAUAUAAAAGCGAUCGACUCGUUAAUCUAAAAGUAUCAUUCAUUUCAAGAGUUUGAUUCACAAUCUGUCAUGCCUACUAAUUUCAAGGAACAACUAGAUGAACUGCUGACACAAGAAAAACUGUUUAUGCUCCAUACCAACCCAAACAUACAAAACUGCACCUUUUUAUAGUCAUUUCAUGAUACUUACUUACCAUAUGAAUACAGAGUAUAAAACCCCCUUUUUUUGGAAUACAAAGUUUAAAAAUAGAUCAAUCAUUCUCAAUGGGAUCGAUUCUUAUUUGCAUUAAUUAAUACAUAAAUAUUUUUUGCAGUAAGAUUUUCUUCAGGGACAGAGCCAGAAUUUGUUCUUUGGAGGGACCAAAAAUUUUUUUAACAUCAUAAAAUAUAUUCAUUACUAAAAAGUAAAAUUUCACUAUUACAAAACAUAUUUUUACUAAAACAAAAAUAAUAUAUUAAUAGAAUUUGCUUUGACAAAGAUAAUGAAACAUAGAAAAAAAAAGUAUUUUAAAACAUAUCAAAACUUCGUCAAAACUUGGGGAGCUAUAGUCUUGCACAAUUUUCAAAACAAACUAAAUGUACAAGUGAAUUUUAUAAAUUUUCAAACUUUGGGGUGAAUCUUACUGUUAACACCAAGAUCUUCUGUCACGUCCCAAUCACGUAAGACAUUCUGAUCAUGCACAAUAAACACAGUCAACACCAAAAGCUUGACGGCUUGACCGUCGGGGGAUAGCUCCGGCGUGAGAGUCAGUACAGACGAUCACAAGGUUAACAAUGACGGAAUAAAUAUCUAGUGACUUAAGAGCAAUAAUUAAUUAGUUACCUUUCACCGUGUGUCAUCCUUGCUUUAUAUCCCCAAAGUCCGGUUUGUCAUGUAUGCAACUGACUUUUCGGGCCCACCGUUUUUAGCCAACUAAGCCCUGUCCAAUCCUCAUUAAAUGCAAUGCAGAGAUGAUAGUCAAAGUUCUAUCCCCAAUCUACACCGGUCAAAGCCCAAGUGGAACCAUACUCAUCUAGUAAUUCGGCCCACUGUCACAGCCCAAUAUUUCAUAAGCCCCAAAAUAAAGAUAAUAUCCACCCAAUGGGUUAGCCCAAUGAACCGGCCUAAUACUUUCAAGACCCACCUCAACAUGUUUAAAGUAUUAUGGCCCAACACUUACAAAAAUUUCAAACCUUAGGGGGGCCGUGGCCCCCUCCAACCUCCAUGUAGCUCCGUCCCUGAUUUUCUUUUUGGUUGCCUGUGACAUCACACCAUGGGAUCGACAUUCUUCUCAUCAUUAUACUUUUUGUUGACCGUGUAUAAUUGCACGUAUUUACUGAUUGCGAAAUUGGACAACAAGAUUUAUAAAAGGCAAGCAAAUUCAAUCCAAUAGUAACGAUCAAGAUUAAAAAAAGUUGAAUUGUUCUCAAACUCACAAGAGAUCUACUGUACGAUAUAGAACAACAUGUUCUGUUGCUAAGUCUUUCAUUACUAACUUCAAGCUACUUAGCAACACCCCAAAUCACACUAUCUCUUAGUGAUUGUUUAGGUCUUAGUGAUCCAUUGUAUCCAAGUCUUAGUGACUUGAAGAGUUCUUAGUGAUCUACUGUAUGUAAGUGUUUGUGACUUGAAGAAAUUUUAGUGAUUUAUUGAGUGCAACUAUUAUAUGUGAACAUCUGUGUGAUCAGUCAUCCUUAGUGAAAAAGUAGAAGAGUGAACUAUAAAACCUUUGUAUUCUGAAUCAUUUAAAAUUUGUGUGUCCCCUUUAUAUUCUGCACUUACUUUUCUGUCAACUUCUUUAAUUUGUUUGAGAUUUAAUUCCAAUUGAUUGCUAAAUUCAAAAUUACAAAUUCUUUCAAAUUUUUGAAGGGAUUUUUCAAAUUAUUAUUCCGCAAUGCAUAAUUAUAAAUUAAUCUGCUUAAUUUAUAAAUCGGUAAUAAUUUCUUUUAAAAAAAUUUAAAAUCUAUUUAACCCACCUCUAAAUCUCUUGGUGCAUUUGGAAUAUAACAAAAACUUUGACACUUCCUGUGGGUUCUAUCCAGUGGAAAGAUAAUCACAAAAAUUUCUCUAGUCAAAGGGCAGAUAUGUAAAACGAAAGGGCCUACCUUACCCACUUUUAAGUCGCAAGUAAAUUGCCUUAAAUAUUUAAUAACUUGCAAAAGUGACUCCAAUAGAAAGAUUUCUAUCUAUCAAUCUGGCAAACGUGGAAUUCACUACUGAGGAGUAAUGGGAAAUGGACUCGAGUCAUGGGAAACGUGGAAUUCCAAAUGGAUGAUUUCAUUUAUUUUAAAUUAUUUAUCGUUUUAUAUAAUUUACAAGAAUUAAUUACAAUUUUUUUUAAAAUUACUUCUCAUAAAAAAUUGUUAUAGAUGUGAAAUAAAUAUGAUAAUAAAUGAGAAUUUAAACGUAUUAUAAAUAUUUGAUAUUAUAUUUAAUCAUUUAUUUAAUUCUUGUACACAACUUUAAAACAUCAGAAAGGGGACCAUGCUCGUGAGUUUUUUCACUUCAAUUACCAAGAGAAACCAAUUAGGAAAUGACCGACAAGCAGGCCUAUGGAAUAUCUUUAAAAUAUGAGUAAUGCUACAAACACAAACUAUUUUACAAAUAUUUUACAAACUGCUGAUGUGGCAUACUCCACAUCACCAUAUUGAUUAACGACUUGUUUAAAUAUAGUCUUCGGCCCCACACAAUAUGCUGAGAUGGAAUACUUUGUGUCUUUAGCAUUAUUCUUAAAAUAUUAUUCGACUAUAAAUAAAAUAAAAUAAAAUAAAAACACAACAACUUGAACGUACGUCAAGACAAGACAAUAGUCAAGGACUUAUUGAUUCUUGUUUUGUGGAAGAAUAUAAGUACACUUGGGUGAACAACACCCAAGCUAUUGAUAUUGAAUGUGAAUGUAAAUCAAGUUGCGGCCUAACAUGGACAAAUGAGUAAUGGCUGAUUGACCAGCUGGAAAUUAAGAAUCGCUCUCCUCAAUCUCCUAUUUGCUUUAUAAAUAGAAUGCAAGAGAAGAGGGGAAAAUUAUAUACCCGAGCUAGCUAGCUACACUUGAUAAUUUCACAGUUGAGAGUAGAGUAUACAUUAAAGAUGAUGCAGAAGCAGACGUUGGCGAUAGCUCUGGUGUGGCUCCUGGUUGCGUCGUCAAUCAUGAUGUGCGUGUUCGCAGCUGCAGACACUACUCCAUUGAAAACUGCUGACCAAGUUCUCCAUCCCCUAGCAGGUAAGAACCAACAUCCGAUCCUUUUGCUUUCGCAUCUGUUCUACAAAUUAAUAUUAAUCUGCAUGCAUACUAACUAUAUAUGCUUGCUAAUGGAUACAUAUAUAUACACUACUUGAAGGUUGUCGCUGCUGCAACUACAUUAAAGUGAGAGAGUUUUUCAAUUGCAACAAAGUUUGUUGUGUGGAUGGAUGUUGCGGUCGCAAGUGAAGCACCUGCAAUGAAGCUACACAGACAAUUAUAUAUAAUAUGAAUCAUGGUUGUGUAGUUGCACAAUAAGAUGAAUAAUGGUGGUCAAAAGUUGCAACAUCUCUGAAGCAAUUAAUCAACCNNNNNNNNNN